AUGAAACGUGCCGCUGGCGCGCCGCUGCCGCUCUUCCUCUGCAACCUUGGAUCGGACGGAGUCCCAUGGCGGUCGGGAAGUCAACGGACCUCGAACCCAAAGGGCCUCCACCUUGCAUCGUCACCAUCGCCUUCGAUCUGGACCUCAUCACCUGCAUCUUUCGAACUUUCAACAACAGGAGCCGCUGCCCACGGACUCCGGCACGGGAAAAAGGCGCACGGCAACUCCGCCGAGUUGCGAGCACCAGGAAGGAGGCGGGCAAGUGGUCGGACUCCGCAGAACCCCGCCACCGGAGAAGAUCACCGCCGCCACAAACCACCAGCCCGACAACGCCUUCCUCUCCAGGGCGCUGCCGGCGAACCACCCACUCCAUUCUAG
rnacentral:rRNA from 1 species